UACGAAGGGGGCUAGCGUUGUUCGGAAUUACUGGGCGUAAAGCGCACGUAGGCGGACAUUUAAGUCAGGGGUGAAAUCCCAGAGCUCAACUCUGGAACUGCCUUUGAUACUGGGUGUCUUGAGUAUGGAAGAGGUGAGUGGAAUUCCGAGUGUAGAGGUGAAAUUCGUAGAUAUUCGGAGGAACACCCGUGGCGAAGGCGGCUCUCUGGAACGCAACUGACGCUGAGACGCGAAAGCGUGGGGAGCAAACAGG
rnacentral:rRNA from 1 species